rnacentral:rRNA from 1 species
UACGUAGGGGGCAAGCGUUGUCCGGAAUUAUUGGGCGUAAAGAGCUUGUAGGCGGUCUGUCGCGUCUGCUGUGAAAAUCCGGGGCUCAACCCCGGACUUGCAGUGGGUACGGGCAGACUAGAGUGUGGUAGGGGAGACUGGAAUUCCUGGUGUAGCGGUGAAAUGCGCAGAUAUCGGGAAGAACACCCGUGGCGAAGGCGGUUCUCUGGGACGGUACUGACGCUGAGACGCGAAAGCGUGGGGAGCGAACAGG